rnacentral:rRNA from 1 species
AGAGUUUGAUCCUGGCUCAGGAUGAACGCUGGCGGCGUGCUUAACACAUGCAAGUCGAGCGAAGCACUUUCUCGGAAGUUUUCGGAUGGAAGAGGGAAUGACUGAGCGGCGGACGGGUGAGUAACGCGUGGGGAACCUGCCUCAUACAGGGGAAUAACAGAUGGAAACGUCUGCUAAUGCCGCAUAAGCGCACACUGUGGCAUCACAGAGUGUGAAAAACUCCGGUGGUAUGAGAUGGCCCCGCGUCUGAUUAGGCAGUUGGCGGGGUAACGGCCCACCAAACCGACGAUCGGUAGCCGACCUGAGAGGGUGACCGGCCACAUUGGGACUGAGACACGGCCCAAACUCCUACGGGAGGCAGCAGUGGGGAAUAUUGCACAAUGGGGGAAACCCUGAUGCAGCGACGCCGCGUGGGUGACGAAGUAUUUCGGUAUGUAAAGCCCUAUCAGCAGGGAAGAAGAUGACAGUACCUGACUAAGAAGCCCCGGCUAACUACGUG